GCAAUUGUGUCAUGCGUGAGGUCUGAUUGCCUGAGUCCAGGGAUGAGGUCUGAGGUUUGCAGUUCUGUGGAGUGAGGGCCCUGCCUGUCCCUGACCCUAAAGGAGUCCCACAGGCAGGAUGUGGGCCUCCCGUGAGCACCUCCAGUGCUCUGGUUCUGUGUAUCGUCAGAAUCCAGGGUUUGGAGGGGUGGUCACGGGAGCUGCGGCAUUUGAGGGGGGCGCCAGCUCCCAUGGAGGUGACAUUCUGGGCUGGUCCUGCUGUGGCAGACCAUAGCUUGGGGUCCCAGCCCCACCCUCCCGCCCCCAAGCACGUGUCCUACUGACCUCACAUGCAUGUCUUGUGACCUCUCGCGGCCCUUUCCAAUACUGUCGCCACUGCACGUGAUAGAGACGUGGCUGAGACCAUGAAAGGGCAGCGAUGGUGAUAGAGUCCCAUGCUCUGAUUUGAUUGAUUGAGACUUUAUUCCCGCUUCUUCAAGACAUGUCUGUGGAAUGGGGUUGCCUGCACUUGCGUUAGUCUGGAGCUAACCGUCGGUGCUGGGGAUGCCGGGGCAGGGCCCCAAGUUCCACUGUGGACGUGCGUGGGGCUUACCUAUGGGCAGCCCCUCCUUAGGAGCAGCACCCAGCAGAGCAGCUUGUGAUUUCAGCCGGGAGGAGACCGUGAGGGAAGAGAUCCCUUAGGUGGUGUCUGCAGCUGACUAGGUCAGCGUUUCCACUCUGGCUGUUAAUGGGACGUUGGCACAGAAAAGUAUUUUGUGGGCAACUUAGUUUAGGGAAGGAUGUGGCGGAGCCUCCCUGUGGAAACGUGUGUCUCUGAUCUCCACGUGGGGUGUGGAGGCAGUAGCCUUUUCAGACCUGGUGGAUCAUUGAAUCCCUCCUGAGGGGGUGGGUUCUGAGGCCUGGCCUUGAUCCCUGAGGCCCUUUGGAAAGUGCUGGAAAAGGUUUUGCCUGGCAUUCUGCAGAAGCAUUGCUGUAUCUUACCAGACAGGAAUACAGAUGAAGACCCCCAGGCCCAGGGAAUUCGAUCACUGGCUGAGAACUCACAGCUAAGGAGGGGGAGCCUGGGAUUCCUUCCUGGUGCUCACACCCGAGACCCUUUUGUCACUGUGUUCAAAGGCACUGCUGCACAGACGUGAUUCUUCUUUCAACGAACAUCUCCAGGACUUCCUCCGGGGUCUGUGACCUCAUCUAUAAUUAAAGGGAAAGAGAUCUUCCUGAGAUUAGCCCAUUUAACUUGUUUAACUAGAUGCAUGCUGCAAAAACUGUUUUCAAGAAAUGAACAAUUGACUAUUUAAAAAGAGCCAAGCCUUAAAAGAAGACCAGGUUUUAAUAGGGAAAACAUUCAGUAAAAUAUUAUUCUGCAGUAACUUGUGGAAUGACUGCUGUACACACAGCUCUGGGCUGGGUACCUGGAAGCUCACGAGCUUGUUUGGCCUCCCCUCCUGGACACAGGAGGUGUCAAGGCUGUGGUCAGCAGAAUCUACCCAGCUGGACACUGAGUGGACGCCCUGUGGGGUGGCUGUGAAAUGGGUCCACUUUGUAGUGGCAGCAUCCCUGAUAGUACUUCUGAAAGGGACAAGAUAGAAAAGCAAACCAAACUGAAACUGAGAAGUCGUGGAUGAUACCAGGGGCGCACAGUGGCUGACAGGAAGAGACUGCCUGGGGGGUCUCGGAGCCAGUGGCUGGAGUGGAGUUAGUUUGACCGAGUCCUGGACUAGGGAGGGGACCCCCAAAGCAUGCCCAGCAUGGCGCUAGUGGGGCCCAGGCACCCCAUGUCCCAACGACUAGAACCAAUAAUCAGGUUAACACUCAUUAAAUAAGAAGUGUCUGUGCCUCCUGGGAUAAAAAUCCUUUAUAACGAUCUGGGACGCGAGCUCAAGUCCCUGUUCCCUUGUCCUCCACAGCAGUGUGCAGCGUGGAACUCGGCGGUUCGGGGUCCCUGAGUCCCUGAGCCACUGUCUACCCCCUGCUCCAUCCCAAAUGCAGAGACCCCUGAGCACUCAUGUGGACAUGCCCCACCAUGCCCUGGCUGCUCCUUCAGGAUGGCGCAGGGCCACCGCUAUGGGAGGACUCUAAAGGGUGGGUCUCAAGCCCUCCUCUGCUUACCCUAAAUCAGGAGAGCAAACCGAAUGCACUGCCCUCUUCCUUCACUCCUGCAUCCCAUCCCCCGCUAUGGCCUCACUAUCAGGUCUGCUGUGUGCCAAAAUAUUUUACCAUGCCCUAAAAGUGAGAUGUUGGAAGUGGACAAGGAGGAAAUAUUUAUGAAUAUUUGAGUCUGUUAUUCUUUAUGUUAAGCAUUUUGGCUUCUGUUGUACUCCUAAAUCACUACUGAGAGCAGAGAAAGAGCUCUUUGUAGAAAUGAGAUGUGUUCCUGUGUGCUGCCUGUGACGCAUCCCGUUGUCACCGGAGUGCCGUGGCCCUAAGGAAUGACAGCAUUAAGGCAUGGACGUUAAAGAUGGACAAAAGAAUUGUUCACGGUGUUGUAUUUUAAAAUGACUAUGUGUAUGACAAUUAAACUAUUGUGUCUUCGUUUACUCCAUGUGUUCUGCCUGACAGCUGGG
rnacentral:lncRNA from 10 species